GAGUAAGCAGCAGAAAGUUUGGAGGAGUGCUGCAGUGGGCUAAGAAGUCCAAGACCCUAGACAGCACUGGCUGAGCCUGCAAUCUCUCCCUUCUGCCAUACACCACAUAUUCCAAACCUUCCAGAGACACGGAGGUGUUAGGAGAAGAAUAGAGAGCUGACAGCUUGCACUCAGCUCAUCACGUGCAAGACAUUUGAUGUAUACUGGAGUCGUGUCAACUACCACUUUCACAACAACAUUUCUAGUUACUACAAUUGGAAACACUGGAUUUGUUUAACAAUUUGUCCCCAUUUAAAAACAAUCUUUUGGUAUUUGGAUAUUAAUGCACAUAACAUAAUAAUAUUUUGCUUCUUCAUCUAAGUCAUGUCAUUUU